UCUCUUGAGUUUGACUGUAGCUGAUCGGACUGGAAGCCGUAUUUUCUUCAGGAUAUGGCC
rnacentral:rRNA from 1 species